CUCUUCUGUGGCUCUACAUCAGGCAUCUGCUCCCCGUCAUAAUUUUGAACGAACGACUCGCCUGAUUCUCUCUAUUGCAUUCAAAGAUUUCUAGAAGUUGUAGUCCAUCAACAUGUAGUAGAAACUGAGUUUGAGAUUCCUGAUCCUACAGCGGAGCACCCACCAUUGCUAAACAGUCAUACUUUUCCUCUAUCAUUAGUUUAUACUUCCACAAGCCCAGACAUCUCUUUGAUACAUUCAACUCUCUCUUCCUGCGCACACCCCAAACUAACCUUUAAGCUGAUAGCUUUGCAUGCUAUUUUAUUAAGAUAAACCAGUUAAGGACCACUAAUGGCACCCGGACCACUUCAGCUCAAUGAAGUGGUCUGGGUGCCAGGUCCAUCUAGGGUUAGUCCUGCAGCUGUAAAGAGAAACUGCUAUGUUUACGUUAGGGUUAAUCCAGCCUCUAAUGGCUGUCUCACUGAUAGCCGCUAGAGGCGCUUCCGCGAUUCUCACUGUGAUUUUCACAGUGAGAAGACGCUGCCGUCCAUAGGAAGGCAUUGAGAAAUGCUUUCCUAUGGACUGAUUGAAUGCGCGCGUGGCUCUUGCCGCGCAUGCGCAUUCGGCGGAUGACGUCGGAAGAGGGAGGAGAGACCCCAGCGCCGAGGGAGCCCAGCGCUGGUGAAAGGUAAGUGAUUAACCCCUUAACCCCUCUUGAGCCCGGCAGGAGUAGGACCCUGAAGG